rnacentral:rRNA from 1 species
UACAGAGGAGCCAAGCGUUGUCCGGAUUGACUGGGCGUAAAGCGCACGCAGGCGGACGCGCGCGUGGGGUGUGAAAUCUGGCCGCUUAACGGCCAGGCGCCAUCCCAUACGGCGCGUCUGGAGUGAUGCAGAGGUCGGUGGAAUUGCCGGUGUAGUGGUGAAAUGCGUAGAGAUGCGGAGGAACACCAGUGGCGAAAGCGGCUUUCUGGUCCUUAACUGACGCUGAGGCGCGAAAGCAUGGGGAGCGAACGGG